rnacentral:rRNA from 1 species
UGGGGAAUUUUGGACAAUGGGGGAAACCCUGAUCCAGCCAUCCCGCGUGUGCGAUGAAGGCCUUCGGGUUGUAAAGCACUUUUGGCAGGAAAGAAACGUCAUGGGUUAAUACCCCGUGAAACUGACGGUACCUGCAGAAUAAGCACCGGCUAACUACGUGCCAGCAGCCGCGGUAAUACGUAGGGUGCAAGCGUUAAUCGGAAUUACUGGGCGUAAAGCGUGCGCAGGCGGUUCGGAAAGAAAGAUGUGAAAUCCCAGAGCUCAACUUUGGAACUGCAUUUUGAACUACCGAGGUAGAGUGUGUCAGAGGGAGGUGGAAUUCCGCGUGUAGAAGUGAAAUGCGUAGAUAUGCGGAGGAACACCGAUGGCGAAGGCAGCCUCCUGGGAUAACACUGACGCUCAUGCACGAAAGCGUGGGGAGCAAACAGG